rnacentral:rRNA from 1 species
ACAUGCCUACAACAUAGCGUUAAUGCACUAGAUCCCAUUAGAACUCCGCAUAUAAGAACACUCGGGAUAUAGUAGUACUGGGAUGGGUGACUGCCCAGGAAUUCCUAGUGUUUUACAUGGC